CCUACGGGAGGCAGCAGUCGAGAAUCAUUCACAAUGGGGGAAACCCUGAUGGUGCGACGCCGCGUGGGGGAAUGAAGGUCUUCGGAUUGUAAACCCCUGUCAUGUGGGAGCAAAUUAAAAAGAUAGUACCACAAGAGGAAGAGACGGCUAACUCUGUGCCAGCAGCCGCGGUAAUACAGAGGUCGCAAGCGUUGUUCGGAAUCACUGGGCGUAAAGCGUGCGUAGGCUGUUUCGUAAGUCGUGUGUGAAAGGCGCGGGCUCAACCCGCGGACGGCACAUGAUACUGCGAGACUAGAGUAAGGGAGGGGGAACCGGAAUUCUCGGUGUAGCAGUGAAAUGCGUAGAUAUCGAGAGGAACACUCGUGGCGAAGGCGGGUUCCUGGACAUUAACUGACGCUGCGGCACGAAGGCCAGGGGAGCGAAAGGGAUUAGAUACCCCUGUAGUC
rnacentral:rRNA from 1 species